AGGGUUUGAUCAUGGCUCAGAACGUACGCUGGCGGCACGCCUAAUACAUGCAAGUCGAACGAAGUAGCAAUACUUAGUGGCAGACGGGUGAGUAACAUGUAGGUAUCUUCCCAUUGGUGAGGAAUAACACGAGGAAACUUGUGCUAAUACCUCAUAAGUCUUUACGGAGAAAGCUUUAUGCGCCGAUGGAUGAGCCUGCACUUGAUUAGUUUGUUGGUAGGGUAAUGGCCUACCAAGACAAUGAUCAAUAGCUGAUUUGAGAGGAUGAUCAGCCACAUUGGGACUGAGACACGGCCCAAACUCCUACGGGAGGCAGCAGUAGGGAAUCUUGCACAAUGGGGGAAACCCUGAUGCAGCGAUGCCGCGUGAGUGAAGAAGGCCUUUGGGUUGUAAAGCUCUUUCGUCGGGGAAGAAAAUGACUGUACCCGAAUAAGAAGGUCCGGCUAACUUCGUGCCAGCAGCCGCGGUAAUACGAAGGGACCUAGCGUAGUUCGGAAUUACUGGGCUUAAAGAGUUCGUAGGUGGUUAAAAAAGUUGGUGGUGAAAUCCCAGAGCUUAACUCUGGAACUGCCAUCAAAACUUUUUAGCUAGAGUAUGAUAGAGGAAAGCAGAAUUUCUAGUGUAGAGGUGAAAUUCGUAGAUAUUAGAAAGAAUACCAAUUGCGAAGGCAGCUUUCUGGAUCAUUACUGACACUGAGGAACGAAAGCAUGGGUAGCGAAGAGGAUUAGAUACCCUCGUAGUCCAUGCCGUAAACGAUGUGUGUUAGACGUUGGAAAUUUAUUUUCAGUGUCGCAGCGAAAGCGAUAAACACACCGCCUGGGGAGUACGACCGCAAGGUUAAAACUCAAAUGAAUUGACGGGGACCCGCACAAGUAGUGGAGCAUGUGGUUUAAUUCGAAGAUACGCGCAGAACCUUACCAACACUUGACAUGUUCGUCGCGACUUUAAGAGAUUAAAGUUUUCGGUUCGGCCGGACGAAACACAGGUGCUGCAUGGCUGUCGUCAGCUCGUGUCGUGAGAUGUUGGGUUAAGUCCCGCAACGAGCGCAACCCUCACUUUUAGUUGCCAUCAUUAAGUUGGGCACUCUGAAAGAACUGCCAGUGAUAAGCUGGAGGAAGGUGGGGAUGACGUCAAGUCCUCAUGGCCCUUACGUGUUGGGCUACACACGUGCUACAAUGGUAUCUACAACAGGAAGCAAAACAGCGAUGUUAAGCAAAUCCUUAAAAGAUACCUCAGUUCGGAUUGCACUCUGCAACUCGAGUGCAUGAAGCUGGAAUUACUAGUAAUCGUGGAUCAGCGUGCCACGGUGAAUGCGUUCCCGGGUCUUGUACACACCGCCCGUCACACCAUGGGAGUUGGUUCUACCUUAAGGCAAGGCAUAAAACCCUUGACCACGGUAUAGUCAGCGACUGGGGUGAAGUCGUAACAAGGUAACCGUA
rnacentral:rRNA from 1 species